AGAGUUCGAUUCUGGCUCAGGAUGAACGCUAGCUACAGGCUUAACACAUGCAAGUCGAGGGGCAGCAUCAUCAAAGCUUGCUUUGAUGGAUGGCGACCGGCGCACGGGUGAGUAACACGUAUCCAACCUGCCGACAACACUGGGAUAGCCUUUCGAAAGAAAGAUUAAUACCGGAUGGCAUAGUUUUCCCGCAUGGGAUAAUUAUUAAAGAAUUUCGGUUGUCGAUGGGGAUGCGUUCCAUUAGGCAGUUGGCGGGGUAACGGCCCACCAAACCAACGAUGGAUAGGGGUUCUGAGAGGAAGGUCCCCCACAUUGGAACUGAGACACGGUCCAA
rnacentral:rRNA from 1 species